rnacentral:tRNA from 1 species
AGCUCUGAGGUGUUUUACAUAUUAGAUUGCAAAUCUAAAGAAGCAGGCUAAUACCCUGCCGGGGCUU